AUUGAACGCUGGCGGCAGGCCUAACACAUGCAAGUCGAGCGGGGUUUUCGGACCUAGCGGCGGACGGGUGAGUAAUGCGUAGGAAGCUACCCGACAGAGGGGGAUACCAGUUGGAAACGACUGUUAAUACCGCAUAAUGUCUACGGACCAAAGUGUGGGACCUUCGGCCGACAUGCUGUCGGAUGCGCCUACGUGGGAGUUAGCUAGUUGGUGGGGUAAGUGGCUCACCAAGGCGACGAUCCCUAGCUGGUCUGAGAGGAUGAUCAGCCACACUGGAACUGAGACACGGUCCAGACUCCUACGGGAGGCAGCAGUGGGGAAGUAUUGGACAAU
rnacentral:rRNA from 1 species